GGAUCGGUGGUGUAGUUGGUUAUCACGUCUGCUUAACAGCAUAAGUUCGCUUAAGCUCGCUCGCAGAAGGUCUGGGGUUCGAAACCCUGCUGAUUCA